rnacentral:rRNA from 1 species
ACAGAGGUGCCAAGCGUUAGGCGGAAUCACUGGGCUUAAAGCGUGUGUAGGCGGAUGCCUAAGUACCUUGUGAAAUCCCACGGCUCAACCGUGGAACUGCUGGGUAUACUGGGUGUCUUGGGUCAUCUAGGGGCUGCCGGAACAAAUGGUGGAGCGGUGAAAUGCGUAGAUAUCAUUUGGAACGCCAACGGCGAAAGCAGGCAGCUGGGGAUGCACCGACGCUGAGACACGAAAGCCAGGGGAGCGAACGGGA